CCCCCAGUCCUCCCGAGCUGGAGCAUGGGCACCCAGAGCCCACCAUGACCAGCCGGUGUGACCGGCCAGUUUGAAGAGGCCAGGGUUUGCCUGGGAUCGGCCUGCAGGGACCCCCUGGGCAGGACGGGCCUCCUGGCUUGAAGGGGGACACUGGUUUGCCAGGCCCACCAGGACCCCAGGGCUCACCAGGCAUUGCAGGGACCCCAGGCCAGCCUGGCCUGAGGGGAGAAAAUGGACAGCCAGGGCCCCCAGGAGCUCCAGGAGAGAGGGGUUUGAUUGGCUUUCCUGGAAGAGAUGGCACCGCUGGACCAUCAGGUCCCCCAGGACCCCCAGGGCUAGCUGGGACCCCAGGCAUCUCAGGACUGAAGGGGGACAAGGGAGAUGUGGGGACAGGACUGCCAGGAGCCAGAGGCGAGCGAGGAGACCCAGGGCCUCGGGUGCGUAUCUCCCCUCCCUCACACCAUCACUCAGACCCUGCUCACCCCACCUUGGCCAGCACCCAGUAUUGCCAUGAGGC
rnacentral:lncRNA from 1 species